AAGAUCAGACUGGCCUUGAACUCAGAGUUCCAGCUGGCUCUGCCUACCUACCAAGGACUGGGAUUAAACCUGUGCACCACAACCCCCUGGCAAUCUUUUGCUUUAUAUAUUCCAACUUUUAAAUGGUUUCUAUUUUAGCCAAUGGCCUAAGCAUCAAGAAGAGGAGAGGAAGGAAGAAACGACGUUCAUUGGGCCCUCCCGCACAGCCAAAAACGAUGAAAUGCAGGAGAUCUAGAAGACAUGUGACAGGAGAGGCUCUCGGCCAGAGAGAUGCAGCUGUCAAAGCUCCUUUUCUUAAGAAAUGCCUGGAAGCAGGACUUCUUACUGAAUUAUUUGAACAGAUACAACAAAAAAUGAUUUCAAUUCAUGGAAGAUUCAUGGAUGAGACUGCUUCAGAGUCAGGUGCUGAGUGGGCUAAAUGUAAACACAUUCUAGAAAACACACCUUCCCAUGCUUUCCCUCCCUCCUUUAACCCAUUCUUUAAGAACACACAUCAUGGGCUGGAGAGAUGGCUCAGUGGUCAAGAACACCACUUCACUUGCAGAAGACUCAA
rnacentral:sRNA from 1 species